rnacentral:rRNA from 1 species
UUCUCUGAUGUUAGCGGCGGACGGGUGAGUAACACGUGGAUAACCUACCUAUAAGACUGGGAUAACUUCGGGAAACCGGAGCUAAUACCGGAUAAUAUUUUGAACCGCAUGGUUCAAAAGUGAAAGACGGUCUUGCUGUCACUUAUAGAUGGAUCCGCGCUGCAUUAGCUAGUUGGUAAGGUAACGGCUUACCAAGGCAACGAUGCAUAGCCGACCUGAGAGGGUGAUCGGCCACACUGGAACUGAGACACGGUCCAGACUCCUACGGGAGGCAGCAGUAGGGAAUCUUCCGCAAUGGGCGAAAGCCUGACGGAGCAACGCCGCGUGAGUGAUGAAGGUCUUCGGAUCGUAAAACUCUGUUAUUAGGGAAGAACAUAUGUGUAAGUAACUGUGCACAUCUUGACGGUACCUAAUCAGAAAGCCACGGCUAACUACGUGCCAGCAGCCGCGGUAAUACGUAGGUGGCAAGCGUUAUCCGGAAUUAUUGGGCGUAAAGCGCGCGUAGGCGGUUUUUUAAGUCUGAUGUGAAAGCCCACGGCUCAACCGUGGAGGGUCAUUGGAAACUGGAAAACUUGAGUGCAGAAGAGGAAAGUGGAAUUCCAUGUGUACGGUGAAAUGCGCAGAGAUAUGGAGGAACACCAGUGGCGAAGGCGACUUUCUGGUCUGUAACUGACGCUGAUGUGCGAAAGCGUGGGGAUCAAACAGGAUUAGAUACCCUGGUAGUCCACGCCGUAAACGAUGAGUGCUAAGUGUUAUGGGGUUUCUCGCCCCUUAGUGCUGCAGCUAA